UACGUAGGGCGCAAGCGUUGUCCGGAAUUAUUGGGCGUAAAGAGCUCGUAGGCGGCUUGUCACGUCGAUUGUGAAAGCCCGAGUCUUAACCUCGGGUCUGCAGUCGAUACGGGCUAGCUAGAGUGUGGUAGGGGAGAUCGGAAUUCCUGGUGUAGCGGUGAAAUGCGCAGAUAUCAGGAGGAACACCGGUGGCGAAGGCGGGUCUCUGGGCCGAUAUUGACGCUGAGGAGCGAAAGCGUGGGGAGCGAACAGG
rnacentral:rRNA from 1 species